GCAUCUUCCACCGCUGUACAUUUUCUGGCUCUGCCUUGCACCAUGGAGAUGGAGUGAGACAGGGAGUAAUGGGACAGAUUUAAAUCCAAGCACACAUGCUUCAUGUGGACGCGUACUGCUUAUUGAAUAGAACAGUCAUCCAGUCAAAAUCAGGGGCCCACAGUGUCAGAUGCGUCCAAACACCUAAAAAGACCAUGCUCCCUGAUUUACCGAGCCUUCCACCUUCCAUUCCUUAAGAGGCAAAUGCCAGCCACCAGGAGAAGACACAGAAAGAAAAGCAGUCGGUUCAGUACUUUAACCACAAGACCAUUCUUCUUCUAUGUGGCAAUCUCUGCACUUCAAACAAGGGAAAAGAAGAGGGCUCAGAUGAAAAUCCCUAGCAGUUGCUAAAAAUGCAUUGGAUUGUUAAAGGAAAUGGGAAAUAAGCCAGUCUGUGACAAAAGGGAGAUUCCCCCUUUUAAACAAAACUGUUAUCUCACUCAAACACACAUUAUUUUACAAAAGGUAUUGCUACCAGUUAGUGGAAAACCAGCAAGUGUGUACAGGUCAAAAGAAUCUUGCAGUAAUGAGUAUGGUACAAGGUUGGUUUGGUUACAUCAAUGCCUGGAAAAACUGCCCUGCCAUUUCAAAACAUACUUAGAAUAUGUGCUGUGACUUCCCAGGGUUAACUUUCUUGACUAAUAAACACACAAAACUAGGUUCUAAAAUUAUAGUCCAGGAGACUGAACUUCUCUAGUUACCUACAGCAUAAGAUCAGCACAAGCCGCACCUCAACGUGGUCCUUAACCCUGACCAGGAGGUAUUGCCCUGAUAGAUGAAAGGUUAAUUUAGCAUCCAUCGCCUCUUCAGUCUUUGGCUUCCUAACACUGGUCACAGCCAGAGAUCACACCUUGUCACAGCAACAGGCGGAACCAAACCUGGGACGUCUGGAGCUUAGUGCGUGAAUGAGCUAAAAGCCAGCUGGCUCUCUGCUAAGAUU